rnacentral:rRNA from 1 species
UACGGGGGGGGCAAGCGUUGUUCGGAAUUACUGGGCGUAAAGGGCUCGUAGGCGGCCAACUAAGUCGUACGUGAAAUCCCUCGGCUUAACCGGGGAACUGCGUCUGAUACUGGAUGGCUUGAGAUUGGGAGAGGGAUGCGGAAUUCCAGGUGUAGCGGUGAAAUGCGUAGAUAUCGGGAGGAAGGCCGGUGGCGAAGGCGGCGCUCUGGAACGUUUCUGACGCUGAGGCUCGAAAGCGUGGGGAGCGAACAGG